UCAUUACUGAGUUACAAACUCCAAACCUUUGUGAACCUUACCACAGUUGCUUCGGCGGCCCCGCCCCGGGCGCCUCGGGAACCCCUCCGGGGGCUACCGUGGCGACCCGGACCCAGGCGACCGCCGGGGGACCCAAACUCUUGUCUUUUAGUGUAUUAUCUGAGUGGCAUAAGCAAAAUAAAUCAAAACUUUCAGCAACGGAUCUCUUGGUUCUGGCAUCGAUGAAGAACGCAGCGAAAUGCGAUAAGUAAUGUGAAUUGCAGAAUUCAGUGAAUCAUCGAAUCUUUGAACGCACAUUGCGCCCGCCAGUACUCUGGCGGGCAUGCCUGUCCGAGCGUCAUUUCAACCCUCAGCACCCCCGUCCGCGGCGGGAGCUGGCGUUGGGGAUCGGCCGUCCUCCGCGGCGGCCGGCCCCGAAACGAAUUGGCGGUCACGUCGCGACCUCCUCUGCGUAGUAGCAAUAUCUCGCAGCCUGGAUAGCGGCGCGGCCACGCCGUAAAACCCCAACUAUACCAAGGUUGACCUCGGAUC
rnacentral:rRNA from 1 species